rnacentral:rRNA from 1 species
AAAUUGAAGAGUUUGAUCAUGGCUCAGAUUGAACGCUGGCGGCAGGCCUAACACAUGCAAGUCGAGCGGUAACACAGGGAGCUUGCUCCUGGGUGACGAGCGGCGGACGGGUGAGUAAUGUCUGGGAAACUGCCUGAUGG